CAGCAGCAGCCGCGGGAAAACGUAGGUGGCAAGCGUUGUCCGGAAUUAUUGGGCGUAAAGGGCUCGCGGGCGGUUUCUUAAGUCUGAUGUGAAAGCCCCCGGCUCAACCGGGGAGGGUCAUUGGAAACUGGGAAACUUGAGUGCAGAAGAGGAGAGUGGAAUUCCACGUGUAGCGGUGAAAUGCGUAGAGAUGUGGAGGAACACCAGUGGCGAAGGCGACUCUCUGGUCUGUAACUGACGCUGAGGAGCGAAAGCGUGGGGAGCGAACAGGAUUAGAUACCUGUGUAGUCCCUGUCUCUUAUAC
rnacentral:rRNA from 1 species